ACUCAAAGGAAUUGACGGGGGCCCGCACAAGCGGUGGAUCAUGUGGUUUAAUUCGAAGCAACGCGUAGAACCUUACCUGGGUUUGACAUCCCCUGACAGUUACAGAGAUGUAAUCUUUAUAGAAAUAUAACAGGGAGACAGGUGCUGCAUGGCUGUCGUCAGCUCGUGUGGUGACAUGUUGGGUUAAGUCCCGCAACGAGCGCAACCCUCGUCCUUAGUUGCCAGCAUUAAGUUGGGCACUCUACGGAGACUGCCGUGGUUAACACGGAGGAAGGUGGGGAUGACGUCAAGUCCUCAUGGCCCUUACACCCAGGGCGACACACGUGAUACAAUGGGUAGUACAAUGGGAUGCGAAACCGCGAGGUGGAGCCAAUCUCAAAAAGCUACUCUCAGUUCGGAUUGGAGUCUGCAAUUCGACUCCAUGAAGGUGGAAUCGCUAGUAAUCGUGGAUCAGCACGCCACGGUGAAUACGUUCCCGGGCCUUGUACACACCGCCCGU
rnacentral:rRNA from 1 species